rnacentral:rRNA from 1 species
AUUGAACGCUGGCGGCAGGCCUAACACAUGCAAGUCGAACGAGUGGCGGACGGGUGAGUAAUGUCUGGGAAACUGCCUGAUGGAGGGGGACAACUACUGGAAACGGUAGCUAAUACCGCAAACCAUCGGAUGUGCCCAGAUGGGAUUAGCUAGUAGGUGGGGUAAAGGCUCAUCUAGGCGACGAUCCCUAGCUGGUCUGAGAGGAUGAACGACCACACUGGAACUGAGACACGGUCCAGACUCCUACGGGGAACAGCAGUGGGGAAUAUUGCACAAGGGGCGCAAGCCUGAUGCAGCCAUGCCGCGUGUAGGAAGAAGGCCUUCGGGUUCUAAAGUACUUUCAGCAGGGAGGCGUUACCCGCAGAAGAAGCACCGGCUAACUCCGUGCCAGCAGCCGCGGUAAUAC